rnacentral:tRNA from 1 species
GCCGAAGUGGCGAAAUGGCAGACGCGCUACGUUCAGGGCGUAGUGACCGCAGGGUCAUGGGAGUUCGAGUCUCCCCUUCGGCA